UACGAAGGGGGCGAGCGUUGUUCGGAAUUACUGGGCGUAAAGGGCGCGUAGGCGGCCGAGCAAGUUAGAUGUGAAAGUCCUGGGCUUAACCUGGGGACUGCAUUUGAUACUGCUUGGCUUGAGUCCGGAAGAGGAGAGUGGAAUUCCCGGUGUAACGGUGAAAUGCGCAGAUAUCGGGAAGAACACCCGUGGCGAAGGCGGCUCUCUGGGACGGUACUGACGCUGAGACGCGAAAGCGUGGGGAGCGAACAGG
rnacentral:rRNA from 1 species